CGCGCGAUACAGGGUGACAGCCCCGUACACAAAAGCGUAUGUGCUGUGAGCUCGAUGAGUAGGGCGGGACACGUGGUAUCCUGUCUGAAUAUGGGGGGACCAUCCUCCAAGGCUAAAUACUCCUGACUGACCGAUAGUGAACCAGUACCGUGAGGGAAAGGCGAAAAGAACCCCGGCGAGGGGAGUGAAAAAGAACCUGAAACCGUGUACGUACAAGCAGUGGGAGCCCCACCACUAAGCCAGUGGUGAACUCCACAUACGCAUCCUUUGCUGAGGAUACGGUUAACGGAGCGAAAGCGACGUUCAACCGCAAAAGAAGCAGAGGGGGCUUAGUGGUGGGGUGACUGCGUACCUUUUGUAUAAUGGGUCAGCGACUUAUAUUCUGUAGCAAGGUUAACCGAAUAGGGGAGCCGGAGGGAAACCGAGUCUUAACCGGGCGUUAAGUUGCAGGGUAUAGACCCGAAACCCGGUGAUCUAGCCAUGGGCAGGUUGAAGGUUGGGUAACACUAACUGGAGGACCGAACCGACUAAUGUUGAAAAAUUAGCGGAUGACCUGUGGCUGGGGGUGAAAGGCCAAUCAAACCGGGAGAUAGCUGGUUCUCCCCGAAAGCUAUUUAGGUAGCGCCUCGUGAAUUCAUCUCCGGGGGUAGAGCACUGUUUCGGCUAGGGGGCCAUCCCGGCUUACCAACCCGAUGCAAACUGCGAAUACCGGAGAAUGUUAUCACGGGAGACACACGGCGGGUGCUAACGUCCGUCGUGAAGAGGGAAACAACCCAGACCGCCAGCUAAGGUCCCAAAGUCAUGGUUAAGUGGGAAACGAUGUGGGAAGGCCCAGACAGCCAGGAUGUUGGCUUAGAAGCAGCCAUCAUUUAAAGAAAGCGUAAUAGCUCACUGGUCGAGUCGGCCUGCGCGGAAGAUGUAACGGGGCUAAACCAUGCACCGAAGCUGCGGCAGCGACGCUUAUGCGUUGUUGGGUAGGGGAGCGUUCUGUAAGCCUGUGAAGGUGGCCUGUGA
rnacentral:rRNA from 1 species